GGCUCGGUAGCUCAGUCGGUAGAGCAACGGACUGAAAAUCCGUGUGUCGGCGGUUCGAUUCCGUCCCGAGCCAUCA
rnacentral:tRNA from 1 species